CCUCCUCGCACGGUAGUGUCGUGCCUUCAUACCUCAUUCGUUCGCGGACGAAAUGAAAUUCAUCAUACGUGGGCUGGUUUAGUAACGGGCCCGUCAUUACUUCCCCUCAAUUCGCGUAAGGAACCACCAAUCUUUACUAACGCUUCAUCCUUGCCAAUCUCAUCGAUUGAGCUCUCUAUUAAAUCCCCAUAAUUUUCGCGAGAAACAACUGCACAGGAAACUGAUGGAGGACAUACGAGGAGUCCAGACAGAUUCUGCCCCUUUAAAUCUUGUGCUCCACCUCAGCCUAUUUUGAUCGUCUUCCCCCAUCCAACAAUUCGUCCCAAUAGGCCUGCUUCCUAGCCAGCCGCCAGCAAUCCUCCGUCGGCCGGUUAGGAGUUCGUUCAGAUUUCCCCUAUUUAAACUCCGUGCUCCAGCUCGACUCCUCGACCUUGCUCCCGUCGUCCUCCGGUACGGUCCGGCACCAUUCAAGAUCGAUGCCCAACGCCGGCGUUGUGCUGGAGCCAUCCUCCCCUGUGUGCCACGUUCAAGACCUCCGAAAUCUUGGUUGACAGGGGCGGAUCCAGCAUACCUGUUGCCUGGGCACUUGCCCAGGCUUCAGUCUUGGAUUCCUUGGUUAAAAUUGCAUCUUGUCUUGAUAUUUUCUUUGAAUUAGACUUCAGCUUUGCUGUGUGCCCAGGCUUCACAAAAAUCCUAGGUCCGCCUUUGUUGGUUGAGGAACUACGACCUCUACCACUGCCACUUACCAGCAUUAGAACGAUGACCUGAAGCGCACCUCAGGCUAGACAUGUGAAGCGACAACUCCUGGCCAGCAACCAGCGCUCAUGUGAGGCCACCCCUGUUAAUGGUACAUGCCAAUUUUCAUUGGACCUUUGUAAAUUCUAUCCGAGACUUCUUUUUGCUGAGAUUCCUGAGUGAGUAUACCAGGACCACCUACCGCCUGUGGUGGAGGCAAUUUGAAUGCCGGGAGGUGCUCGAUACAAGGAAUCAACCAGGCAGGUCUACAAUGAGUUGCUGGAGCGGUGUCCUUUUUUGAGGCCACAUAUGUUGUUGCAUAUUCUGGCUGUUUUGGCUGGGCAACUUUUUUUUGCAGCACUGUUCAGCAUCGCGCCAACACACGGCUAAUCUAUGGCUUAAGGAGUACUUACUAAUCUUUCAUUUAUUCCUGCUAGGUGUAUGCAACAGUCUAUUUUUGUACGAUACUAUUGUCACUGCCAUUUUCUGAAAUACAAAGCAGACAACAUGCUUUUUUCAAGUGUUUAAACGACUAAGUAAACUGCUAAAACUACUAACCUACCAGGUGAUGCUCAAGCUGUCGACCUAUGGAACAUGGUGUUAUUUUGGAUCGUCCAUUCUACCAGCAAGUAUAGUUUUGCAUAUCGUUUCAUUUGUUGUAGAUAUAGUUAUAUCCGAAGAUCCAGAGCAGUACCAGUCUAUUAUCUAUGAGAAAAAAACUGUGCACUAUAUGUGUAUGGAAUUUGAUAAUCCCGUCAGUCCAUUUUAAUGUGUCAUCCUCUAUUGUUGUAGACGUGUAUGUAUUGAAAAACUAAGUCUCAUUGCAUCAGGGAAAAUUAUUUACUUUGGACUAUGAUAUUUUAUUAAUCACAAUGGUGCCAUGCUUUAUAUUCCUUAGAGAAUUGAACUUAUCACAAUUUUAUGAAUCAAUUCGAGAAUUCGCUUGCCAUGGAACUUAUUAUGGUCUUUUUAAUCAUUAUUUACAGGCAAGUGUGAGAUGCUCAAUAUUAGGUAACAUAUCUUCAGAUCAACUCCAGUGAAUAAUGUUUUUCUUAUUUUGUUUCAUAUGUAAUAAGUGAAGAAGGGUAUGGCAAAAUAGUGGAUACAUUGUCUACAGAUAAGCUUAGCUGAAAUAGUUGUAGUUUGCAGGGUAGGAACAACCGGGAAUUACCACUGACGUAUGCCAUUGAGUUCUCAUACAUUAGAAAUAGCUACCACAGUCCAACUUCA